CACACACACACACGCACUUGUUCUGUCUUUGUGAGGACAUCUUAGUGUCUUGUGUAUUAGUGUAGUCGAAUAAGUAAAAAAAACAGUGAUCUAUUUGUAAAUACAGAAGCUCCGUGUUUUCACUCGAUAAAACACUGAGACUUUAUUACUUUAAAAAAAAAAGUUGAAUAUUUUAUAUUAUUAUCUCCACCUGUGUGCACAUAAUCACUGAACCCCAAACACUAACCCCAGCUCUUACUGUGAAGUAUCUGGGUUUUUGUUUUUAUUAUUUAGAUUUUAUUUUUAUUUAAUUAAUGAUGUACACUACACGUCUGUAACAUUCCCCCGCACAAAGGCAAACAGCACAGUAAAGCUAUUUUAGCCCAGGGGGCGGGGCUAAGAGACCAGCUGUGCCCAAUCAGCAGAGUUCACACCAAGUGUCAGUCAUGUGAGGUAGGACAGUAGGCGGAGUUAGGCCACAUGCACCCAAAGUCUGGUUCAGAGUGAACAGCUGACGGAAAUCUCGCGUGAUCUGAGUGAACAAAGACGCAGAGAGAAGCUGAAAAAGCCAUUUGUUUCUGUUUAUUUCUGUUUGUUUUAGUUUCAUCACAGUUUGUUUGUUAGACACUUCUUGUGAAAAGUACGUUUUAAAUGUCCGAGUAAAGCAAAGUUAAAGCAUUUCUCUCAAGAGACAAGAGACCGUAUAGGAGGAGAGUGGAGGCUGUUAAUGGCACACGCUAUGAGAAACUGUGUGUCUACGUUUAAAUGCCUUAUUUAAGGUUAAAUUUGGGUUAGGGGUGUUUUACUGAGGUAGAGGUCAGGGGUUAGAGGAUAGUGGUUAAGUGUACUGAGGUAAAUGUUAAGGGUUAAGGUUGUUUAUUUAGGGUUUGAGGAUAGGGGAUAAAUGUACUGAGGUAAAUAUUAAGGUUUAAGGGUUUUUUAAGGUUUGAGGAUAGGGGUUAAUUGUACUGAGGUAAAUAUUAAGGGUUAAGGUUGUCAGUUGUUUUAAGAUGUUAAAGGCAAAAAAGUGAAAGCAUAAUGAGACUUUAAAGGGUGUUAAAUAACAGACUCUGGAUUUAAACCGGACUCUCUGAUGUCCUGUACACUUUGUUAAAUACCACUCACCUCUCUGACCUUUAAAGUGCUGACUGUGCCUCAGGAUAAAGUCUGAUAUUGACGGAGACCAGGUGAACAGGGGUGUGUUAUCAGGAAUCUGCUUCAAAAAUCAGAUAAAUGUACUGAAAUGUGAAGCUCGUCAGCUGUGCGGUCUCUGACACAAAUGUUAUCUACUUUUAAAGCUAAUGAAGCCGUGCUGUGUGGUGAUUAGUUACGUUGUUGUACGUUGCUUUUUUGGUUGCAGUUAUAUGUUUGUUUCAGGGCUGCACUAUAAUGAUGAUAAAGGAACAAAAGAAAUCAUAGAAGUAAAAACCAGAUGACUGCAACAUAUCUGACACAUUUACAUUUCUUAAAUACGAUUAUAAAAUGUGAUCUUUUAAGAAGUCACGACAUUAGGCCAUAGCAACAAAAUGCAAACAAAAUUUUGCGUCUCGUUAUGGGAUUGAGCUUAGAGAAUUGAACAGAUAUGGAGUUGUGUGUUAAUUUACAGAUAACAGUAUAACAUUUAUUCAAUUUAACAUGAAAUCCACACAUCUUUGCAAAAUACAGUAUAUAGAAAUCUCAUACCUUAUAUAUAUUCAUCAUCAUACAUAUAAAGUAAUGUGUAUACAUAAGUAAUGUGUAUACGUAAGUACAUAUGUGUAUGUACUUUAAGUCUCAUAUAUAAUGCACAUAAUGGAGCUUUUGCUUUAAUAGUUCAGUAAAGUAUGGGAUCACUAGUGCCCCCUGGUGGUGUGGUUUGGUUUUUCUUUUCUGGAAAAGACUCAGCUGUUUUAAAAAAAAGAAAAAGAAAGAAAAACACACAAAAUAGGUCAGUGUACACACACUGUCCUGUUUUCAUGGCAGACAGAGUGUGUUCCCCUGUGCUUUAGUGUGGACUUCAAACACUGACGGGUUAAAACACACAGUGACCUUGUUAGGUUUCAUGAAACAGCAAAAUUUGUUUGU
ensembl:lncRNA